GACGAACGCUGGCGGCGUGCUUAACACAUGCAAGUCGAGCGAUGAAGUUCCUUCGGGAAUGGAUUAGCGGCGGACGGGUGAGUAACACGUGGGUAACCUGCCUCAUAGAGGGGAAUAGCCUUCCGAAAGGAAGAUUAAUACCGCAUAAGAUUGUAGUGCCGCAUGGUAUAGCAAUUAAAGGAGCAAUCCGCUAUGAGAUGGACCCGCGUCGCAUUAGCUAGUUGGUGAGGUAACGGCUCACCAAGGCGACGAUGCGUAGCCGACCUGAGAGGGUGAUCGGCCACAUUGGGACUGAGACACGGCCCAGACUCCUACGGGAGGCAGCAGUGGGGAAUAUUGCACAAUGGGGGAAACCCUGGUGCAGCAACGCCGCGUGAGUGAUGAAGGUCUUCGGAUUGUAAAACUCUGUCUUCAGGGACGAUAAUGACGGUACCUGAGGAGGAAGCCACGGCUAACUACGUGCCAGCCGCCGCCGUAAGAC
rnacentral:rRNA from 1 species